GGGACUGUAGCUCAGCGGUUAGAGCGGGCGACUCAUAAUCGCUUGGUCGCUGGUUCGAUUCCAGCCAGUCCCA
rnacentral:tRNA from 1 species